rnacentral:rRNA from 1 species
AGUAACCUGCCCUUAACUCUGGGAUAAGCCUGGGAAACUGGGUCUAAUACCGGAUAGGAGCGUCCACCGCAUGGUGGGUGUUGGAAAGAUUUAUCGGUUUUGGAUGGACUCGCGGCCUAUCAGCUUGUUGGUGAGGUAAUGGCUCACCAAGGCGACGACGGGUAGCCGGCCUGAGAGGGUGACCGGCCACACUGGGACUGAGACACGGCCCAGACUCCUACGGGAGGCAGCAGUGGGGAAUAUUGCACAAUGGGCGCAAGCCUGAUGCAGCGACGCCGCGUGAGGGAUGACGGCCUUCGGGUUGUAAACCUCUUUCAGUAGGGAAGAAGCGAAAGUGACGGUACCUGCAGAAGAAGCACCGGCUAACUACGUGCCAGCAGCCGCGGUAAUACGUAGGGUGCGAGCGUUAUCCGGAAUUAUUGGGCGUAAAGAGCUCGUAGGCGGUUUGUCGCGUCUGUCGUGAAAGUCCGGGGCUUAACCCCCGGAUCUGCGGUGGGUACGGGCAGACUAGAGUGCAGUAGGGGAGACUGGAAUUCCUGGUGUAGCGGUGGAAUGCGCAGAUAUCAGGAGGAACACCGAUGGCGAAGGCAGGUCUCUGGGCUGUAACUGACGCUGAGGAGCGAAAGCAUGGGGAGCGAACAGGAUUAGAUACCCUGGUAGUCCAUGCCGUAAACGUUGGGCACUAGGUGUGGGGACCAUUCCACGGUUUCCGCGCCGCAGCUAACGCAUUAAGUGCCCCGCCUGGGGAGUACGGCCGCAAGGCUAAAACUCAAAGGAAUUGACGGGGGCCCGCACAAGCGGCGGAGCAUGCGGAUUAAUUCGAUGCAACGCGAAGAACCUUACCAAGGCUUGACAUGUUCUCGAUCGCCGUAGAGAUACGGUUUCCCCUUUGGGGCGGGUUCACAGGUGGUGCAUGGUUGUCGUCAGCUCGUGUCGUGAGAUGUUGGGUUAAGUCCCGCAACGAGCGCAACCCUCGUUCCAUGUUGCCAGCACGUCGUGGUGGGGACUCAUGGGAGACUGCCGGGGUCAACUCGGAGGAAGGUGAGGACGACGUCAAAUCAUCAUGCCCCUUAUGUCUUGGGCUUCACGCAUGCUACAAUGGCCGGUACAAUGGGUUGCGAUACUGUGAGGUGGAGCUAAUCCCAAAAAGCCGGUCUCAGUUCGGAUUGGGGUCUGCAACUCGACCCCAUGAAGUCGGAGUCGCUAGUAAUCGCAGAUCAGCAACGCUGCGGUGAAUACGUUCCCGGGCCUUGUACACACCGCCCGUCAAGUCACGAAAGUUGGUAACACCC